rnacentral:rRNA from 1 species
CAUGCAAGUCGAACGAUACUUUCCAGCUUGCUGGGAAGGAAAGUGGCGCACGGGUGCGUAACGCGUAUGCAACCUACCUUAAUCAGGGGGAUAGCCCGAAGAAAUUCGGAUUAACACCGCAUAAAAACACAGGAUAGCAUUAUCCAAUGUUCAAAUAUUUAUAGGAUUAAGAUGGGCAUGCGUGUCAUUAGCUAGUUGGCGGGGUAACGGCCCACCAAGGCGACGAUGACUAGGGGAUCUGAGAGGAUGACCCCCCACACUGGUACUGAGACACGGACCAGACUCCUACGGGAGGCAGCAGUAAGGAAUAUUGGUCAAUGGAGGCAACUCUGAACCAGCCAUGCCGCGUGCAGGAAGACAGCCCUCUGGGUCGUAAACUGCUUUUAUUCGGGAAUAAACCACAUUACGAGUAGUGUGCUGAAUGUACCGAAGGAAUAAGGAUCGGCUAACUCCGUGCCAGCAGCCGCGGUAAUACGGAGGAUCCAAGCGUUAUCCGGAUUUAUUGGGUUUAAAGGGUGCGUAGGCGGCUUAUUAAGUCAGGGGUGAAAGACGGUGGCUCAACCAUCGCAGUGCCCUUGAUACUGAUGAGCUUGAAUACACUAGAGGUAGGCGGAAUGUGACAAGUAGCGGUGAAAUGCAUAGAUAUGUCACAGAACACCGAUUGCGAAGGCAGCUUACUAUGGUGUGAUUGACGCUGAGGCACGAAAGCGUGGGGAUCAAACAGGAUUAGAUACCCUGGUAGUCCACGCCCUAAACGAUGAAUACUCGCUGUUAGCGAUACACAGUUAGCGGCUAAGCGAAAGCGUUAAGUAUUCCACCUGGGGAGUACGCCCGCAAGGGUGAAACUCAAAGGAAUUGACGGGGGCCCGCACAAGCGGAGGAGCAUGUGGUUUAAUUCGAUGAUACGCGAGGAACCUUACCCGGGCUUGAAAGUUAGUGAAUCAUUUAGAGAUAGAUGAGUGAGCAAUCACACGAAACUAGGUGCUGCAUGGCUGUCGUCAGCUCGUGCCGUGAGGUGUUGGGUUAAGUCCCGCAACGAGCGCAACCCCUAUGUUUAGUUGCCAGCACGUUAAGGUGGGGACUCUAAACAGACUGCCUGUGCAAACAGAGAGGAAGGAGGGGACGACGUCAAGUCAUCAUGGCCCUUACGUCCGGGGCUACACACGUGCUACAAUGGAUGGUACAGAGGGCAGCUAGCUGGUAACAGUAUGCGAAUCUCACAAAGCCAUUCACAGUUCGGAUAGAGGUCUGCAACUCGACCUCUUGAAGUUGGAUUCGCUAGUAAUCGCGUAUCAGCAAUGACGCGGUGAAUACGUUCCCGGGCCUUGUACACACCGCCCGUCAAGCCAUGGAAGUUGGGGGUACCUAAAGUAUGUAACCGUAAGGAGCGUCCUAGG